rnacentral:tRNA from 1 species
UUCCCUCUAGCUCAGUUGUUAAAGAAUCUGCCUGCAAUGCAGGAGAACCAGGUUCGAUUCCUGGGUUGGGAA